UUCAUUUGCCAUUAUCACUUUUAAUGCCAUCUCAAUUCAAGUACAUCAAACUUACAAAUCUGAUAUUCAUACAUCCAAACAGUGAAACAUAACAACAGAUUCAAACAUAGUCAGCUUUGCCUUUCACUGAAUUAAUGGAGCAUGCACCAGUUUUAGCGUCACACUCUUCCAUCAGCAUCAUCCGUCCUGGGACAGAAGUACAGGUGAGUACAUCCAUAGACUUUAUUCAUUCAUUCAGAAAUGUGGGUUUGGUCCAGUCCUGGACAGAUGUUUCAGCUCAUAUUGCAACAUGGCAAUAUCCUGGGAUAAAUAUGAAAAGUACAUCAAGAUCUAAAAAAAAAAAAAAACAAAAACCAAGACGUUAUCACAAAAUGAAGGCACAGCCAAAGCAGAGGAGUCAUCUUGACUUCAGUGCUUAUGGGAUUUUUAUUUUUUUGGAAUGCACAUUAGGUAGAAUUCUUGCGGAUGGGAGAACAAAUAGAAUAAAUAUUGUUCAGAACAAUAUUUAUUGCUGCUGGAAAUUACGAAGUGCCAUGCUGGGUCACCCAUUCACCGUAAAAAGGCCACCGAUCAACAGAUUGAGCGUUUAUGACACUUACAGAAGACAUUUUUUAUCAUUAAAAUGACUUCAGAGAAUUUUAACUGCUUUACACCCUGAUAGCUUCAGUCAGAUUGUUUCAAUACAGAACUACUGAAUACUGACCUCAUUGUGCUUUAUUCUGUGCGUUAGUGUUCAUUAUUAUCACAGUGCUCAACCCAGUCUGGGCUUAUUAAUGACACAUUAACAGCAGUAAUGUUAUUAGUACAAUGUGUCAGCUCUUGAAUUAUGUUCCCUAACAUAGCAAAGAGGGUUUCAUCUGUGUAUCAUUAACAUCACAGGCACACACUUCAAGUAAUUUCAGGUAUGAAGGAGAAGGAUUCAAUCAUAAAUAAAAUACACACUGACAUAUGUAAUUAAAAAGUAGUUCAACAACUUCAGGAACCAUUAAAAGAUUUUGAAUACGUGUGAAUUUGACAGAAUUUGGGAUGCAGCACAAAAACAAGAAAAAAAAAAGAAGUGCUGUAACUGAAACAUUUCUUACGAGAAAUGCUGUCAGCAGUGAAGGGUGUUCGUGUUCUGAAAAUAUAAAUAAUAUUAAAAGAAUUGACCGUACGUUCCAGUUGUUUCCAUGACUUGGUGGCUGCUACAUUUCCAAUUCUGCCUCAUCUUUCACGUUCACCUCAACUUUUCAUGGUUCUUGCAUAUAGAAAGACACAUUUCACUUCCUGAAAUGUGUGCAGGCUUUGUGUGAAAUUACAAAAAUAUACAAAUACGACCUCAAAUAUACGCUCUAUUGGUUAAAAGAAAAAAAAACAUAAUAUGAAAGAGAUUCAUAUUCUAUAUGCUUUGGAUAAAAAUUGAGGUAUUCGAGGGUCGGGAUGAAGGUACAAGCAUGCUGGUUCUGUAACGGACUGUUUGUAAAAGAGCUCAAAGUUCCAUCACACUGAGGACACAGUGGUCUGGAGAGUCUAAUCUUUCAUCUGAAAUAAGUGAGAUGUGCUACUUCUUUCUGUUGCUUAAUGGAGAGUCACCUUG
ensembl:lncRNA